CGGGCAGUUGCUCAGUGGUAGAGCUCCCGCUCCGUAUGCGGUAGGACCUGGGUUCGAUUCCCGGCUGCUUAC
rnacentral:tRNA from 1 species